GAUGAACGCUGGCGGCGUGCUUAACACAUGCAAGUCGAACGGAAAGGCUCCUGCUUGCAGGGGUACUCGAGUGGCGAACGGGUGAGUAACCCGUGGGUGAUCUGCCCUGCACUUCGGGAUAAGCCUGGGAAACUGGGUCUAAUACCGGAUAGGACGAUGGUUUGGAUGCCAUUGUGGAAAGUUUUUCGGUGUGGGAUGAGCUCGCGGCCUAUCAGCUUGUUGGUGGGGUACUGGCCUACCAAGGCGUCGACGGGUAGCCGGCCUGAGAGGGUGUACGGCCACAUUGGGACUGAGAUACGGCCCAGACUCCUACGGGAGGCAGCAGUGGGGAAUAUUGCACAAUGGGCGCAAGCCUGAUGCAGCGACGCCGCGUGGGGGAUGACGGCCUUCGGGUUGUAAACUCCUUUCGCUAGGAACGAAGCGCAAGUGACGGUACCUGGAGAAGAAGCACCGGCUAACUACGUG
rnacentral:rRNA from 1 species